rnacentral:rRNA from 1 species
GUGGGGAAUAUUGGACAAUGGGCGCAAGCCUGAUCCAGCCAUGCCGCGUGAGUGAUGAAGGCCUUAGGGUUGUAAAGCUCUUUCAGUAGGGAAGAUAAUGACGGUACCUACAGAAGAAGCCCCGGCUAACUUCGUGCCAGCAGCCGCGGUAAUACGAAGGGGGCUAGCGUUGUUCGGAUUUACUGGGCGUAAAGCGCACGUAGGCGGAUUGGUCAGUUAGAGGUGAACUCCCGAAGCUCAACUUCGGAACUGCCUUUAAUACUGCCAGUCUCGAGUCCGGAAGAGGUGAGUGGAACUCCUAGUGUAGAGGUGGAAUUCGUAGAUAGUAGGAAGAACACCAGUGGCGAAGGCGGCUCACUGGUCCGGUACUGACGCUGAGGUGCGAAAGCGUGGGGAGCAAACAGGAUUAGAAACCCCAGUAGUCC